rnacentral:rRNA from 1 species
AGGCUGAAAAGCGUAGUCGAUGGAAAACAGGUUAAUAUUCCUGUACUUCUAGUUAUUGCGAUGGAGGGACGGAGAAGGCUAGGCCAGCUUGGCGUUGGUUGUCCAAGUUUAAGGUGGUAGGCUGGAAUCUUAGGUAAAUCCGGGGUUCUAAGGCCGAGAGCUGAUGACGAGUUACCUUUUAGGUGACGAAGUGGUUGAUGCCAUGCUUCCAAGAAAAGCUUCUAAGCUUCAGAUAACUAGGAACCGUACCCCAAACCGACACAGGUGGUUGGGUAGAGAAUACCAAGGCGCUUGAGAGAACUCGGGUGAAGGAACUAGGCAAAAUGGCACCGUAACUUCGGGAGAAGGUGCGCCGGUGAGGGUGAAGGACUUGCUCCGUAAGCCCAUGCCGGUCGAAGAUACCAGGCCGCUGCGACUGUUUAUUAAAAACACAGCACUCUGCAAACACGAAAGUGGACGUAUAGGGUGUGACGCCUGCCCGGUGCCGGAAGGUUAAUUGAUGGGGUUAGCUAACGCGAAGCUCUUGAUCGAAGCCCCGGUAAACGGCGGCCGUAACUAUAACGGUCCUAAGGUAGCGAAAUUCCUUGUCGGGUAAGUUCCGACCUGCACGAAUGGCGUAACGAUGGCGGCGCUGUCUCCACCCGAGACUCAGUGAAAUUGAAAUCGCUGUGAAGAUGCAGUGUAUCCGCGGCUAGACGGAAAGACCCCGUGAACCUUUACUAUAGCUUUGCACUGGACUUUGAAUUUGCUUGUGUAGGAUAGGUGGGAGGCUUUGAAGCGUGGACGCCAGUUCGCGUGGAGCCAUCCUUGAAAUACCACCCUGGCAACUUUGAGGUUCUAACUCAGGUCCGUUAUCCGGAUCGAGGACAGUGUAUGGUGGGUAGUUUGACUGGGGCGGUCUCCUCCUAAAGAGUAACGGAGGAGUACGAAGGUGCGCUCAGACCGGUCGGAAAUCGGUCGUAGAGUAUAAAGGCAAAAGCGCGCUUGACUGCGAGACAGACACGUCGAGCAGGUACGAAAGUAGGUCUUAGUGAUCCGGUGGUUCUGUAUGGAAGGGCCAUCGCUCAACGGAUAAAAGGUACUCCGGGGAUAACAGGCUGAUACCGCCCAAGAGUUCAUAUCGACGGCGGUGUUUGGCACCUCGAUGUCGGCUCAUCACAUCCUGGGGCUGAAGCCGGUCCCAAGGGUAUGGCUGUUCGCCAUUUAAAGUGGUACGCGAGCUGGGUUUAGAACGUCGUGAGACAGUUCGGUCCCUAUCUGCCGUGGACGUUUGAGAUUUGAGAGGGGCUGCUCCUAGUACGAGAGGACCGGAGUGGACGAACCUCUGGUGUUCCGGUUGUCACGCCAGUGGCAUUGCCGGGUAGCUAUGUUCGGAAAAGAUAACCGCUGAAAGCAUCUAAGCGGGAAACUUGCCUCAAGAUGAGAUCUCACUGGAACCUUGAGUUCCCUAAAGGGCCGUCGAAGACUACGACGUUGAUAGGUUGGGUGUGUAAGCGCUGUGAGGCGUUGAGCUAACCAAUACUAAUUGCCCGUGAGGCUUGACCAU